GAUGAACGCUGGCGGCGUGCUUAACACAUGCAAGUCGAACGAAGCACUUUGAUCGAUUUCUUCGGAUUGAAAUUUUAGUGACUGAGUGGCGGACGGGUGAGUAACGCGUGGGUAACCUGCCUCACACAGGGGGAUAACAGUUGGAAACGGCUGCUAAUACCGCAUAAGCGCACAGUACCGCAUGGUACGGUGUGAAAAACUCCGGUGGUGUGAGAUGGACCCGCGUCUGAUUAGCUAGUUGGCAGGGCAGCGGCCUACCAAGGCGACGAUCAGUAGGCGACCUGAGAGGGUGACCGGCCACAUUGGGACUGAGACACGGCCCAAACUCCUACGGGAGGCAGCAGUAGGGAAUAUUGCACAAUGGGGGAAACCCUGAUGCAGCGACGCCGCGUGAGCGAAGAAGUAUUUCGGUAUGUAAAGCUCUAUCAGCAGGGAAGAAGAAAUGACGGUACCUGACUAAGAAGCACCGGCUAAGUACGUGCCAGCCGCCGCGGUAAGAC
rnacentral:rRNA from 1 species